rnacentral:rRNA from 1 species
CAGCCGUAAACAAUGUGCGUUAGGUGUGUCGGUAACCACGCGUUACUGAUGCGCCGAAGAGAAAUCGUGAAACGCACCACCUGGGAAGUACGGUCGCAAGGCUGAAACUUAAAGGAAUUGGCGGGGGGAGCACCACGACGGGUGGAGCCUGCGGUUUAAUUGGACUCAACGCCGGAAAUCUCACCGGAUAGGACAGACAUAUGAUAGUCGGGCUGAAGACUCUACUUGAUGAUCUGAGAGGAGGUGCAUGGCGUCAGUGACU